UCCAGACUCCUACGGGAGGCAGCAGUGGGGAAUAUUGCACAAUGGGGGGAACCCUGAUGCAGCGACGCCGCGUGGGUGAAGGAGCACCUCGGUGCGUAAAGCCCUAUCGGCAGGGAAGAAACAGACGGUACCUGACUAAGAAGCCCCGGCUAACUACGUGCCAGCAGCCGCGGUAAUACGUAGGGGGCAAGCGUUAUCCGGAUUCACUGGGCGUAAAGGGAGCGUAGACGGCGACGCAAGUCUGGAGUGAAAGCCCGGGGCCCAACCCCGGGACUGCUCUGGAAACUGCGGCGCUGGAGUAGGGGAGGGGCAGGCGGAAUUCCUGGUGUAGCGGUGAAAUGCGUAGAUAUCAGGAGGAACACCGGUGGCGAAGGCGGCCUGCUGGAGCGUGACUGACGUUGAGGCUCGAGAGCGUGGGGAGCAAACAGGAUUAGAUACCCGCGUACUG
rnacentral:rRNA from 1 species